rnacentral:rRNA from 1 species
AUUGAACGCUAGCGGGAUGCCUUACACAUGCAAGUCGAACGGAGUGGCGAACGGGUGAUUAAUGUAUCGGAACGUGCCCAGUAGCGGGGGAUAACUACGCGAAAGCGUAGCUAAUACCGCAUACUAUAGGAGCGGCCGAUAUCGGAUUAGCUAGUUGGUGGGGUAACGGCUCACCAGGGCGACGAGCCGUAGCUGGUUUGAGAGGACGACCAGCCACACUGGGACUGUGACACGGCCCAGAUUCCUACGUGAGGCAGCAGUGGUGAAUUUUGGACAAAGGGGUAGACCCUGAUCCAGCGAUCCCGGGUGGGCGAUGAAGGCCUUCGGGUUGUAAAGCACUUUUGGCAGGAAAGCGGUACCUGCAGAAUAAGCACCGGCUAACUACGUGCCAGCAGCCGCGGUAAUAC